rnacentral:lncRNA from 1 species
UGCGGGGACAGCGCUUCCGCGCGUGGGCAACCCGGAGCAGAACCCCCUGGCAGCAUCCACCCGAGACUUUUACUGUAGCGUCAGGGCGCCAGAGAGCUGAGGACCAAAAGUCCUGGCCUGUACCAAAGAGCCUGCGAAGUGCCAGUUAAGGUGUGACAUGGUUGCUCUUGUGCCUACUGAAUACCUAUAUUACAGAGGACCACCGACUGCAUCCCAGGGGUCACACCUGAGGGGGUCCCCACCACACCCACUGUGUGUCCAGGUCAAUUCUCCCACGGGAGAGUAGCACACUGGCAAACACUGACAUCGGAGCAGGCAUUAGGGGGCCUGGCCAGUUGCAUCAGCUUACUCGCCUGCUGUAACUACUCUACUAAACUAAUGUGUUUGAGAUCAGAGUUUGGAAAAUAUAAACAAAUAUAAGCAACUCCUGGGCAACAGAGCCAGGCAUGGCUGGCUACAGCUCUGAAGCCUCAUGGUUUUAGAAUACAAGAUUAAUUUAAUUUGUACAACUGCAGCUCCUCAUCUCGCUGCCUU